rnacentral:rRNA from 1 species
GAGUGGCGAACGGGUGAGUAACACGUGGGUAACCUGCCCAUCAGAAGGGGAUAACACUUGGAAACAGGUGCUAAUACCGUAUAACAAUCAAAACCGCAUGGUUUUGAUUUGAAAGGCGCUUUCGGGUGUCGCUGAUGGAUGGACCCGCGGUGCAUUAGCUAGUUGGUGAGGUAACGGCUCACCAAGGCCACGAUGCAUAGCCGACCUGAGAGGGUGAUCGGCCACAUUGGGACUGAGACACGGCCCAAACUCCUACGGGAGGCAGCAGUAGGGAAUCUUCGGCAAUGGACGAAAGUCUGACCGAGCAACGCCGCGUGAGUGAAGAAGGUUUUCGGAUCGUAAAACUCUGUUGUUAGAGAAGAACAAGGAUGAGAGUAACUGUUCAUCCCUUGACGGUAUCUAACCAGAAAGCCACGGCUAACUACGUGCCAGCAGCCGCGGUAAUACAUAUGUGGCAAGCGUUGUCCGGAUUUAUUGGGCGUAAAGCGAGCGCAGGCGGUUUCUUAAUUCUGAUGUGAAAGCCCCCGGCUCAACCGGGGAGGGUCGUUGGAAACUGGGAGACUUGAGUGCAGUAUAUGAGAGUGGAAUUCCAUGUGUAGCGCUGAAAUGCCUAAAUAUAUGGAGGA